GUGUCAGCAGCCGCGGUAAUACGGAGGGGGCGAGCGUUAUUCGGAAUUAUUGGGCGUAAAGGGCGCGUAGGCGGCCCGGUAAGUCAAAGGUGAAAUCCCUCGGCUCAACUGAGGAACUGCCUUUGAAACUGUCGGGCUUGAGGCCGGGAGGGGGUAGCGGAAUUCCCAGUGUAGCGGUGAAAUGCGUAGAUAUUGGGAGGAACACCAGUGGCGAAGGCGGCUACCUGGACCGGUACUGACGCUGAUGCGCGAAAGCGUGGGUAGCAAACAGGAUUAGAUACCCUGGUAGUCCACGCUGUAAACGAUGGGUGCUCGGUGUCGCGGGUAUCGACCCCUGCGGUGCCUUAGCUAACGCGUUAAGCACCCCGCCUGGGGAGUACGGUCGCAAGGCUGAA
rnacentral:rRNA from 1 species